AACGAACGCUGGCGGCAUGCCUAAUACAUGCAAGUCGAACGAACACUUCGGUGUUAGUGGCGCACGGGUGCGUAACUCGUGGGAAUCUGCCCUUGGGUUCGGAAUAACAGUUGGAAACGACUGCUAAUACCGGAUGAUGACGAAAGUCCAAAGAUUUAUCGCCCAGGGAUGAGCCCGCGUAGGAUUAGCUAGUUGGUGAGGUAAAGGCUCACCAAGGCGACGAUCCUUAGCUGGUCUGAGAGGAUGAUCAGCCACACUGGGACUGAGACACGGCCCAGACUCCUACGGGAGGCAGCAGUAGGGAAUAUUGGACAAUGGGCGCAAGCCUGAUCCAGCCAUGCCGCGUGCAGGAUGAAGGCCUUCGGGUUGUAAACUGCUUUUGUACGGAACGAAAAGGUCUUUUUUAAUAAAGAGGGCCCAUGACGGUACCGUAAAAAUAAGCACCGGCUAACUCCGUGCCAGCAGCCGCGGUAAUACGGAGGGGGCUAGCGUUGUUCGGAAUUACUGGGCGUAAAGCGCACGUAGGCGGCUUUGUAAGUUAGAGGUGAAAGCCCGGGGCUCAACCCCGGAAUUGCCUUUAAGACUGCAUCGCUUGAACGUCGGAGAGGUGAGUGGAAUUCCGAGUGUAGAGGUGAAAUUCGUAGAUAUUCGGAAGAACACCAGUGGCGAAGGCGGCUCACUGGACGACUGUUGACGCUGAGGUGCGAAAGCGUGGGUAGCAAACAGGAUUAGAUACCCUGGUAGUCCACGCCGUAAACGAUGAUAACUAGCUGUCUGGGCUCUUGGAGCUUAGGUGGCGCAGCUAACGCAAUAAGUUAUCCGCCUGGGGAGUACGGCCGCAAGGUUGU
rnacentral:rRNA from 1 species